ACCGUGAUCCUCAAAUCUCAGCCUCCUGAAUAGCUAGGAUUACAGGAGCGAGCCACCGGUGCCCCGUGCCCGGUUCUCCCAUGUCUUACAAAGAACCUUGCACUAGAGUGUAGUGCAAAGGGAAGGAGGGCUUCUUUCUGCUGUCGCAGAGUCCAGGUUCUACAGAGAAGUGAUACGCUUCACAGAAAGCAUUCUCUAGAAACAGCAGUUCACUGCUCUCUGCUCAGCAGAUACUUUCUCUCUCUUCGCUGCAACUUGUGUAGAUAAUAUCCAACAGAGUCAGCGUAGGCAUUUGGGGCCCACUGAAUUUUGAGACCACGGAAAGUAGGUCCCCUUUUUCUACCCUGUUUCCUUAUUUCUACCCUGUUUCCUGUUGCUCUCAUCCUCAGACCCAAGGCCAGGUCCAAAGCUAAUGAAAAUUGCCUUUCCUUCUUUUGAUGGUUUAUUGACUAGUAUGCCAGGUCCCAACUGUAGGAAUCUCUUGCAUUGAUAUAUAAUAUCCUGCAUCACAUGGUUUUUUUCUCUCUCAAGGAAUAUAAAGUGCUUAAUAAACAUUGACUAAUGUUCUUCUCUAUCCUUUUAUCCU